AUGAACGCUAGCGGCAGGCUUAACACAUGCAAGUCGAGGGGCAGCACUUGUAGCAAUACAUGGUGGCGACCGGCGCAAGGGUGCGUAACGCGUGAGCAACAUGCCCGUAUCAGGGGGAUAAUCCAGGGAAACUUGGUCUAAUACCCCAUAGCAAUUAUUUGAGGCAUCUUAAAUAUUUAAAGCUUUGGUGGAUACGGAUUGGCUCGCGUGACAUUAGCUAGAUGGUAAGGUAACGGCUUACCAUGGCUACGAUGUCUAGGGGUUCUGAGAGGAAGAUCCCCCACACUGGAACUGAGACACGGUCCAGACUCCUACGGGAGGCAGCAGUGAGGAAUAUUGGACAAUGGAUGGAAAUCUGAUCCAGCCAUGCCGCGUGCAGGAAGACGGCCCUAUGGGUUGUAAACUGCUUUUGUGUGGGAGCAAUAAGGUCUAUGCGUAGACUGAUGAGAGUACCAUACGAAUAAGCAUCGGCUAACUCCGUG
rnacentral:rRNA from 1 species